GGUAUGAAGGUGAUCGUCAUGUUUUCAAGUCAUUUCUUUACAUCAUGAACAUGCUGACAGAUAGAAAAAAGACUUACAUCGAGACUUACUACGAGGCUGCUGCACUUUUGGAGGGUCACACAGAUCUUCAAGAUGAGUUAAUUAUGUUUUUUCCUGGUGUUUAAUGAGUGGAGGCCUCUAGGGUGGAUAACCAAAACAAGAAACUAGAUGGUGUGCUAUUUUCAAUAAUUAUUUAAACUUUGUAUGACUUCUGAAACAACAUAAAACUAUGUUUGCAUUAUAACUACUGCGUUUUGGUGGUUUUAAAUUUGUUAAAGGCAUAAUUUUGCCUUUUUUAUGAUAGUUUAAUGAAAAUUUUAAUUUAUACCUAUUAUAAUCCCUUAUGCAUGAAGAAUUUUGAAUAAUUAAAAUCAUUGCAACAUUUGCAUGUAUAUGACACUUCGUGGUGGUGAUUUAGGGAGAUGAAUGUCACAUGUGGAAGAGACACGAUCAAAGAGUGGCUCUUGAUAGUCUUUCAAAAAAUUGAUAUGCAAAUGAACCAAAUAUAUACUAGAAUGACACAUACUUAUAGACUAGAAGUAAAAUGCUUCGUUUUUUAGAAUGACUUAAAGUAAUCAAAUUUUAAAAAUUGCAUUUUUUUCUUUAGUAACGUAUAAUGUAGAAAUUCCAUAGUUAAGCAUGCUUAACUUGGAGAACCAUUGGGAUAUGUGAACUAUUGAGAAGUCUCCU
rnacentral:lncRNA from 1 species